GAAUAUUGGGCAAUGGCCGAGAGGCUGACCCAGCCAUGCCGCGUGCAGGAAGAAGGCCUUCUGGGUUGUAAACUGCUUUUAUCUGGGAAGAAAACGCCCCUGCGGGGGUAACUGACGGUACCAGCUGAAUAAGCACCGGCUAACUCCGUGCCCGCAGCCGCUGUAAUACGGCGGGUGCAAGCGUUGGCCGGAUUUAUUGGGUUUAAAGGGUGCGUAGGCGGCCCGUUAAGUCAGUGGUGAAAUCCCAGGGCUCAACCCUGGAACUGCCAUUGAUACUGACGGGCUUGAGUUCGGUUAAGGCGGGCGGAACUGGUGGUGUAGCGGUGAAAUGCAUAGAUACCACCAAGAACCCCGAUUGCGUAGGCAGCUCGCUGAGCCGAAACUGACGCUGAGGCACGAAAGCGUGGGGAGCGAACAGG
rnacentral:rRNA from 1 species